AUUGCACGCUGGCGGCAGGCCUAACACAUGCAAGUCGCACGAGUGGCGGACGGGUGAGUAAUGUCUGGGAAUCUGCCUGAUGGAGGGGGAUAACUACUGGAAACGGUAGCUAAUACCGCAUACCAUCAGAUGUGCCCCGAUGGGAUUGGCUAGUUGGUGGGGUAACGGCUCACCAAGGCGACGAUCCCUAGCUGGUCUGAGAGGAUGACCAGCCAAACUGGAACUGAGACACGGACCAGACUCCUACGGGAGGCAGCAGUGGGGAAUAUUGCACAAUGGUCGCAAGCCUGAUGCAGCCAUGCCGCGUGUAUGAAGAAGGCCUUCGGGUUGUAAAGUACUUUCAGUGGGGAGGCGUUACCCGCAGAAGAAGCACCGGCUAACUCCGUGCCAGCAGCCGCGGUAAUUC
rnacentral:rRNA from 1 species